rfam:Gorilla gorilla gorilla genomic chromosome, chr7, whole genome shotgun sequence
CCCAGGUAUGGUGACAUGGUGCCAAAAACCAUAGCAGGGAAGAUUUUUGGUUCUAUCUGUUCGCUGAGUGGGGUCUUGGUCAUUGCUCUACCCGUUCCGGUGAUUGUAUCCAAC